rnacentral:rRNA from 1 species
GUGCAGCAGGCGCGAAUCUUUUGCAAUGCCCGAAAGGGUGACAAUGCGACGCCGCGUGAGCGAUGAAGGCCUUCGGGUUGUAAAGCUCUGUCAGCUCGGAUGAAAGCAGGGAAGCCAAUACCUUUUCUGUCUGACGGUACGAGCAGAGGAAGCUACGGCUAACUCCGUGCCAGCAGCCGCGGUAAUACGGAGGUGGCAAGCGUUGUUCGGAUCUACUGGGGUGUAAAGGUCAUGUAGGGCGUCUUACUAAGUCGGAUGUGAAAUCCCCUGGCUCAACCAGGGAACUGCAUUCGAUACUGGUUAGAUUGAGUACGGGAGAGGAAAGCGGAAUUCCGGAAGUAAGGGUGAAAUCUGUAGAUAUCCGGAAGAACACAUUAGCGAAGGCGGCUUUCUGGCCCGAUACUGACGCUGAAAUGAGAAAGCUAGGGUAGCGAACAGGAUUAGAUACCCCCGUAGU